rnacentral:tRNA from 1 species
ACUAAAAUCCGUCGACCUUAAAAAUCGUGAGGGUUCAAGUC